GGAAAUCUUGGCAUUACAAUGAAUCUUGUGAUGGGUGUCCAUAUGCUGCAUUGGAAUUUUGCUGAUUUCUCCAUGCUGAAUUUGCAUCCUUUGUUUCAUGAUUAGUGAAGUGGAUCUUGCUCAAAGAGGAACCCAGCUGAAAGACAGGCAACAUACUAUAGAGUAUAUGUUCUUGCUUAAGGAUGCAUGUGGCCAAGUCUGGAAGGCCAAUGAAGAGCAAGGGGCAAAGGAAACAAAAAAUGAGGGAGAUGAGCAAGAUGUAGGUAAGAGUGCUGUUAUUGGCCUUAACAAUGGGAGUAUGGUGGUGCUUCAGAAAGAUGCCAAGAACCAGAGCUGUGAAUGCAGAGAAGCCCAAGGCCAUUAAAGAAAGUACCCUCCCUAGGGGGUCUUCAUAAGUGAGAAAGAUAAGAGCUUUUUGAAUGCAGUGAUUCUGCCCUGUGUUGGCAUAUUGGUCCUCUGGGCACAGGAUACACAUCUCCACAUCUAAUGGAAAAAUUAAGGUAUUAUUAGUGUAGCUUGAGCAAUUUUACUAUCAGCAUAUUUCAUUUAAGUAUAUAGAGGAAG
rnacentral:lncRNA from 14 species